rnacentral:rRNA from 1 species
UCGGGAAUUUUGGGCAAUGGGCGCAAGCCUGAACCAGCCAUGCCGCGUGCAGGAAGACGGUCCUAUGGAUUGUAAACUGCUUUUAUUUGGGAAUAAACCUCCUUACGUGUAGGGAGCUGAAGGUACCAAAUGAAUAAGCACCGGCUAACUCCGUGCCAGCAGCCGCGGUAAUACGGAGGGUGCAAGCGUUAUCCGGAAUCAUUGGGUUUAAAGGGUCCGCAGGCGGAUUUAUAAGUCAGUGGUGAAAGCCUACAGCUUAACUGUAGAACUGCCAUUGAAACUGUAAGUCUUGAAUUCGGUCGAAGUGGGCGGAAUAUGACAUGUAGCGGUGAAAUGCUUAGAUAUGUCAUAGAACACCGAUAGCGAAGGCAGCUCACUAGGCCUGGAUUGACGCUCAGGGACGAAAGCGUGGGGAGCAAACAGGAUUAGAUACCCCCGUAGUCCCUGAGCGGGCUGGCAAGGCGCAU